GAGGUUAUAGCUCAGUGGUAGAGCGGGUGCUUAACAUGCACGAGGUCCUGGGUUCAAUCCCCAGUACCUCCA
rnacentral:tRNA from 1 species